CCGUUAUAUGAAGAAGAUCUGGUUGCUUAUAUCGUCAAUGGUCUUGACGAUGAUUUUGAUCAUGUUAUCUCUGCGAUAGUGGCCAGGGUUGAACCUGUCACGGUAGCAGAACUCCACGCAAAACUUUUGAGUUUUGAAA